UAAAUAGGUUUAUAUAAUAUAGGUAUAAUAUGAAAUAAAUCGGAAAAAGUCAAAUGUGUUACUUAUGACUUAUCUACUAUCGUGUUACAUGGCCAAAUCGGGCCGUAUCAUAUCGACCCGCACACAUUAUACAAUCAACAUAAUCUACAAUCUACCAUGCAUUUACAAAUAUCUAAAAUUUAAAUCCUUCAUAUUUUCUUACAUUAUAUAAUUAUUUCAAAAGGGCGUAAUACCACUAAUACAGUGUGCCAAAUCGUUCACCAAACCAACCAUCUACUUACUACUUAUGUGAUAUGCUGAUGAAAUCUAGAUCACUCGCACAAAAUCCAAACACAUAAAAUCACACAACUGUCUCCACCCCAAUUCCAACAAACAAUAACAAAAAUAAAACAUAUUUGUUUAAAAAAAUUAAUUUGAUUAUUCUCAAAUUCAGUUAGGAGACUGUAAAAAUGGACCAAAAACCAAUAUCCAACAAACAAACUUCUACUCAAAUCAAAGCUCCAUGACCCAUCUGCAUUAGUGCACAAAAUGAUACCUUUAUUAAUCUUUCUAUGAUAAUAAUAUUAUCGAAAGGAGAACUAUUGUUAUGCAAAAGAUCCACAAAUGGUAUGAAACUAUAUGCUAGCUCUCAUAAGAGUCAUACCGUUAGGGCGUUAGCCGUUAGGUUGUCUAAUUUAGUUUAAGUCAGUGAUUCCCACCAUGAGGUAAUCUUACGUACCAAAAGGAGAGAACGUGGUUUGUGGAUUAUUACUUAUUACCUAGGACCUACCCAUAAAUAUAAUAAUUUUAUCAAUUCAUACCUAAUAUAUACCUACCUAUAUUUACCUACUUACAUAAAUAACAUUAAUAUAGGUAUUUCCCAAGCGCACUAUCGAAAUUAAUCAAAUUAUCGCUUGCGCUUAUCGCUGUAGCCUGUAAUGCUUUUCAAUUUUCAUAGACGACGGUCUACGACUAAUCGAUCCACUGCGUGCCACAACUCACAGACCACUGCAGUCCACAGAUGUGUCGCGUCGUCCCAAUAGCAACACAAAUUUCCACUAAAUUGUGACCAAAACGUGUCAACGAUAAUUUCGGACUUUACACAUAAUACAACAUUACGACUACUUUUGAAUGAUAUACUUUAGAAAUGUUCAAUCAGUAGUGACUAGUGACUACACGUGUAAAGGGAAAAUAUCUACAAAUCAUAUUAUAGCACCGGAAUUUCAAUUGUGCUGACCGCGGAGACGAGGGGUUUGAAUGCGGAGUUGCAGUCGAAAAAAUUUAGAUUCAUGCGGACUUGCGGUACGUUUGAAAAAUUCAACCCCUGGGCGUGUAGAUGACCAUGUUAAAGACUUGGAGCAAGAUUGGAGAAAAUAAUACAAAUUCAUUUAUUUCGGAUAUUUGGAUUUUGUUUGAAAGAUGUGAUUGCGAUUUGUAGGUCAUUUGUGCUUGCGGACGAGAAUAAUACCCAAUGAUUUUCCACUGAUUCCACGGAGAAACAAACAAUAUUUAUGUUUUGAGCAGAAGGAAGAGUUAUGGUAAAAUGGUAAAAAUAAUAUGGAACAAUAUUCAUGCAAAACCUUUUUUUUUUUUUUCUAUUAAUCCUAUUAUACGGUAAUUAUGUUUUUGUAGGAUUUAAGGAAAGCUCGUCUUUAAAACAUAUUUGUGCAACUGCUCAAAACCUGGUUAUUUUUUUAUAUUGUGUAUAUUCAAAAUCAACAUCAUAACACGUUUAAUUUGAGAAAUGCUUAAUCAAAUCAUGCACAGUAAAUAAUAAUGGGAAGCAUAAAGGACGCCAACACAACCAAUAUUUAAGAAGUGUGAUGUUGGCAGGACAUAUUGAGAAGAAUUAAAAUUUUAAAUCUUAAAUACAAUAGAUUACUGAUUCAAAAUAUUUAAAAGCUGUCCCGUAUCAGCACCAACAAUAGUUAUUGUAUGACAAGAUUGUAUUGUAAAACGGUUUUAUGUGAUACAAACUUACAAGUACAAUAUUUAAAGCAGAUUUACCAAAUUUUCUUAUUACAUAGCAGAUAACUUUAUCUCGUAAUGUUUUUGUGUGAAAACUGAACUACU